rnacentral:rRNA from 1 species
UACAGAGGGGGCAAGCGUUGUUCGGAAUUACUGGGCGUAAAGGCGCGUAGGCGCCUGCUAAGUCGAACGUGAAAUCCCUGGGCUCAACCCAGGAACUGCGUCCGAAUACUGGUUGGGCUUGAAUCCGGGAGAGGGAUGUGGAGUUCCAGGUGUAGCGGUGAAAUGCGUAGAUAGUCUGGAGGAACACCGGUGGCGAAGGCGAACAUCCUGGACCGG